UACAUAGGGGGCAAGCGUUAUCCGGAAUUAUUGGGCGUAAAGGGUGCGUAGGCGGCCUGACAAGUCAGAGGAAAAGGCUACGGCUUAACCGUAGUAAGCCUUUGAAACUGUUGGGCUUGAGUGCAGGAGAGGUAAGUGGAAUUCCUAGUGAAGCGGUGAGAUGCGUAGAUAUUAGGAGGAACACCAGAGGCGAAGGCGGCCACCUGGACAGGUACUGACGCUGAGGUGCGAAAGUGUGGGGAGCAAACAG
rnacentral:rRNA from 1 species